UACGGGGGGGGCAAGCGUUGUUCGGAAUUACUGGGCGUAAAGGGCUCGUAGGCGGCCAACUAAGUCAGACGUGAAAUCCCUCGGCUUAACCGGGGAACUGCGUCUGAUACUGGAUGGCUAGAGAUUGGGAGAGGGAUGCGGAAUUCCAGGUGUAGCGGUGAAAUGCGUAGAUAUCUGGAGGAACACCGGUGGCGAAGGCGGCAUCCUGGACCAACACUGACGCUGAGACGCGAAAGCGUGGGGAGCGAACCGG
rnacentral:rRNA from 1 species